AUGCUGGCACACAGCAGGCAGUACCUCUGUGGAAAUGAGCAGGCCUCACAGGAGUGGCGUCCCACCCUGGGUGCUCCCCAGAGGUGGCAUGAUGCACCAGCUCCUGCAGCUGCCACCCCUGGCACAGACUGCGGCUUCAGUGAGGAACAGAGGAUCUCACCAUCUGUAGGUUGGGAGUCUGAGGUCCAGGUGUCAAGGUUGGGUUCUUCUGAGGCCUCUCUCCUCUGUGCACCUGCGUCCUCUCUGCCUGCGCAUAAACCUGUCACAGAGGUUGGCUGCCUGGUGGCCUCACUCAGUGUGCUCCCUCCGUACAGGCCCCACCGCCCAAGCAGGUGCCCUCAGGGUGCCCAGGGGUCGGGGCACUGGGAGGGAGGCACUCUCCCGCAGGGACCCCUUCCCUGGACCCAGGGCCCAGGCACCCUUGCUCAAAACGAGCUAAUAAUGGACAGAUUUUGUGUAAGAAGAAGCUCAUGUCAAGCACGCCUUUGUUUCUCAUGCUAUGAAUUCUCGUUUACACCCUCACAGGAAGCGGAUGGUAACCCGACUGUGUUGGUACUCGGCAGACCUAGGCAGAAGGUGCUCCUGUCGCUGUCGGGGUCGACAAACCUGAGCUCUGCCUCCAGCACCAGCCCGGAGAACUCCUUGUUGCCCAAGGUUUCAAAGGAAGAAUAA
rnacentral:lncRNA from 1 species